rnacentral:lncRNA from 1 species
GGUAAUAAAAGUGGUCAAGGGCACAACUUGCCUUCAAUGAGCUCAUGCUCAUCAACUUCUACCUACUGAACAAUCGGAUCCUCGGCCACUUGCUCUUCUACUCGCCACAAUACAAACAAGCAUAGUACAAGGGAGAAAUUAACAUCACACCAAACAUGUAUACAAAACACAUAUUAAUAAUCUACACAUUAAAACGAGAUAAUAGGAAAAAAAUCACUAAAUUCAGAGUUACGGAUUUCGAGUUAUAAAUUUUGGAAGGUUUUAUGUGUUUGGUAAAAGAUUAAUUAAGUGAUCAAAUUUAAUAUGAGUUUCAUGUUAAAAUAGUGUUACCAGUUGAUAGAUAGUAUUAAUACAAAAUUAUAGGAACUGGAGUGGAUCAAUUUGGACUUAAAAUGAAUUAAAUAUGAAUUAUACAAGUUUCUGGAAUUAUAUUUGUAUUAAAAAUCAAUUUCUAUAAUAAUUUAUCUAAUUUCUUUGAUCACUGGACUGCGCGCACAAAAACAGAGAACUACAGGGGCUGCUACGUAAAAAGUUCAUGACUCAGAGUACGCCAGCGAUGGACUGCGAGUUCAUUAGAUGGUUCUCAAGGGUCUCUUAAGCAAAAUAGUCACGACUGGGGGUCUAUAGGCACCCACGGGCCACAAGAUCAGAGAUCGAGGACCCGGAUUAAGUCACGAAGCGGUACGUCCCACAGACCACCGGAUCGAAUAUCUAAGGCCACGAUUUUAUUAGGCUGGAUCUGCUUACAUCCGUCCGAUCUAAUCCAAGGGUCACGAUCUAAUCACGAAGGGAUACAUAUACUUUCUAAUCGGGACCGUGAAUCAUGCAAUCGAUGGCGUGGAUUUUAAAUGUCCUAGAUUGCGCUGGGUCUGUUUGUUCGUGAUCCGAUGGCUCAGGACGAAUCACGCGAAGGGUUAUUGUGACGUCUAAUCUACACCGCCCAAAACCGGAUGGACGACCGAGGGAUCCCAUUCUCCCUCCCAGCCAACCGUGGCGGCGCCGCCCGAUGUCGCGGUGGUUCCAAACCGGAGUUUCCCCCAUCACGCACGGUAGGGCGCUAAUCCCUAAUUCUAACCGCACUAUGCCACACCAAGGAAAGGAUGGACAAAAGGGUGCACUUAUUACCUUGGUAUGGAGCACGAGUGACACUAUCCGCGCAACGGCGCGGCUCUGCGGCAAGCUUCAACUACGGCGAGGAAUUCCACACGCCCAAGGGCACGAUUGUCCGAGAAACGGGUCUGAGUGACUUCCCCCUGCGUUCAGGCGAGAUUCUGUGGCUCCAAUCAGGCACUCGACGACGGUGGGGGCGAGUAGCUACGAGGCGGCUGCGUCGUCUCUCAAUGGCGGAGUAUGACACGGUCUCUGCAGUUGCUGGCGAGGGUUCCCUAUCUAAGUGCUUAAGUGGCCCACAAUGAAAACAGGGGCAACCACAUUUGUAGCCACGGCGUGCGCGAGUCCGCGCAAGGAUGUGACAACGGCAGCGCGACAUUUGCGAUGAGCUAAUGGCUUGUGGACGGGGUGGGAGGACCUGACGUGUGGGGGCCACAGUCAGCGCACAGCGUUCGCAGUC